rnacentral:lncRNA from 1 species
AAAAGGGUAGUUUGUGCGAGUUGUUGGCUGAUUGGGGUAGGAUUAUGAAGCCUUGCAGAGCUGACUGGCUUGCUGUUCUUAAAGAAUUGAGGGUAAAGGAUCACCCCAUUUAUCUUCAGGUAUUUGCUUUUUACUGGCUUUAUCGUGAAUUAGUUUUAAAGUUUAGUACUUUGAGUUCUACAACCUUCAGGCAACUUUGUUUUACUGGGUUUAUUUUUAAUUUUCUAAAGUUCAAUGCUUUUCAAGUUUUAUCAUUUGCUUUUGUCUUGUAUUUACUAUUUUUAGUGUUUUUGUGGAUGUGAAUUCUUGGGGUCUUUUGAAUUUGAAGAAAUCAGAGGAUUCUUGAAAGGAAGUUUGUGUGUUCUUCUGUGUGUGUGUGUGUGUGUGUGUCUUAGGGAGGGAGAGGUAGAUGAUUUUUGGAUCACCUUAGCCAGCUAUGAUGAGAUUGUUCGUGCUAUUGAUAGACCAAGGUGUGUAUUGUGUUGAAACUGAAUACCCAUCUGAGUUCUUGAUAAAAACAAUUUCAAGUAGCAAUUACGUAUCGAGUGUGAAUGGCCAUUUCUGGUGCUGCCUAAUCAUGUUUUGUUCUCAAUUAGGGGAGAUAAGGACUCUUAGGUGGUCAUGGUACUUAAGCGUGGCAUGAUGGGUAAUAAGAAAUGAUGAUUAAGAAAUCUUGAAUGGGGGAAAUAAGAAUAAGUUAUUGAUAAUCUAAAAUUGUCAGUUGUGACUGAAACUUGUUUUCUCAAUUCAAGUGGUCCAAACUCAUUGAGCAAGAUGAUUUCUUGCUGUUGAACCCCCUUUAGCAUCAUUGGUAAGUUCUUGUUUGAAUACCUGGCUUAGGUUUCCCUGUUUUCGAAUUUGAAGUGCUAGGGAUGGAGCUGUCAUGUUCCAUCUCUUUCAAGUUCUAAUCCUCUUCCAACUUUUAUAUGUUUUUGGAACUCCAAUUUGUUCAUUUUUGAUCUGCAUGUUAUGAGAUUCUCGCACUCUCCACUGUAUAUUUUAUCGUCUUCAACAAGUUCACUUACAAAUGUCGUAUUUUUGAAAAUCUGCUUACUGAACUGUUUGUAGGUGGCAAAUUGCUUUACUAGAAGAAUCUUUUGAAGCCAACAUUCGUGACUAUACCAAAAUAAUUCAUGGUUAUGGGAAACAAAACCGAGUUGAGGAUGCUGUAAAAACCCUUUCGAACAUGAAGACUAGAGGCUUCAUAUGUGAUCAGGUAACUC